GAGGGAAAGUCUGGUGCCAGCAGCCGCGGUAAUACCAGCUCCAAUAGCGUAUGCUAAAGUUGUUGCAGUUAAAAAGCUCGUAGUUGUGUUUGUUUCCGUCRGUAGUGCGCGUGCAGCGUUAAGGCGCGGCGUGCGCGCGCUGGCGGAAUGAAAUUUUGGGCUGGAUGUCGCAUGRCCUUCACUGAUCGUGCGGCAGGCRGCCCAUCGUUUACUGUGAGAAAAUUAGAGUGUUYAAGGCAGGCGUUUGUAAUUGAAUAUGUUAGCAUGGAAUAAUGAGAUAUGGCUCCCGUUUGUUGGUUUUGUGAUGUGGAAGUAAGGAUUGAGARGGACGGUCGGUG
rnacentral:rRNA from 1 species